ACUAAAAGAAUAAAUUUUAUUUCAGCACUGUAAGUCGUUUCUCAACCGUACAAACACGACCACCAUCUUUACAUCAUCAAGCCUCUCCUCCUGUUCCAGUCUUCCUUUGUGAAAUCACUUCCUCCACAGCCAGACGAAUAUAAAAGGGCUCUCUCCACAACAUUCUGGUGCUUCCAUUUUAGCUAACGAUGACAAAUUAUACCGAUCAUAAUUAUAACAGCAAUAAUAGUAGUGAUGAAGAUGAACCUUUUACUGCACUGUUGUUUUGAGGGGGGAGGGGGCUUACAGUACAUGAUACAGUACACAUUACUGCUGGUUUACAGUUGAUGUAUUACAUGUGUUACAGUUGCUUCAGAAGGCGUUGGUACAGAUACUCACAGACUCGACACCUGUAUGAUGUUAUAUCAUCAUCAUGUGACCUGAACUGACCGCUCACUCCAUAUCCUCCCUAGCUGCAUCCCAAAUAGCAUCCUAUUCCCUUUCUAGUACACUACUCAUGACCAGGACCCUGCACCACAAGGUCAAAAGUAGUGCACUAUUAUAAGGAAUGGAGUGAAAUUUGCAAUGUAAUCAACUGUCUUUAUUACCUGUAAGCCUAUCUAGUCUGGACCACCAGGCAGUGUAGCCAUACAUGUACUGAAACCUUAUAACACAGUCCUACAGUAACCAAUACAGCUCUGUUCUACUCAUCACAAAACUCCACUCUAUAAGGGGUAAACCAAUCACACGUGCUGUGAUGUCAUCAUAGAAUCGCUCUCAUGAUAGGCCAUUGUAUUUUUCUGGGGACUUCCAACUCUGUGCAAAGUACAGCUUCACUUGAGUCGACCAUGAAAUCUUUAUAAAGGGACGUUAAUAAUACGAGAAUAUACGAACGUAGUGCAGAAACGAUUAUCAUUUAAAAAGCUUUUGACGGGCGAUAUUUAACUGACAUAGUAACAACGACAAGGUGAUCUUUAAAAUGAUUUAUGGCAUAUCAAAUACCAAGAAGGAUCAUCGUUAAUGGUUCCAAUAUAAAUCUCUAUGUUUGGCUAAAGCCUCUUAGAACUAACGGUUGCUUUGAUAGAUAGAAGGGGUUAGAAGACAUUAAAAAGAGUAAGAAAAAAAAAGUGAAGCACAAUUGAAUAAAACAGAUUUUUUUUGUUGCAGACUCUGGCUAGUUUACAAAGAGAAACUGAUCAUCAAUAAUAACAUCGUUCACAAAGAGAAACUGAUCAUCAAUAAUAACAUAGCCUCUACUGUUAGUGUGGGUGGUUAGGGGCGGGGUCAGAAAACAGCCAAUAGAAAUGGUCCUAGAGGAAACAGAUAAGGGCUGAUACAGUGAUCCAUCCAUCGGACAGACUGCCUGUGUCGGACAGACUGCCUGUGUCGGACAGACUGCCUGUGUCGGACAGACUGCCUGUGUCGGACAGACUGUUGGUGAAAGGGUGUAAAGACUGUUGGUGAAAGGGUGUAAAGACUGUUGGUGAAAGGGUGUAAAGACUGUUGGUGAAAGGGUGUUGGUGAAAGGGUGUUGGUGAAAGGGUGUUGGUGAAAGGGUGUUGGUGAAAGGGUGUAAAGACUGUACUCUAUGGGCUGCUUUAAAGCGGAACGACCUAAUGAGGGGGACAGAGGGAGGAAGAGAGCGAGAACGGUGAAGACGGGGGUGAAGAGAGAGGUGGGGUUGAAGGGCGAGGUGAAGAGAGAGGUGGGGUUGAAGGGCGAGGAGGGGGGUGAAGAGAGAGGUGGGGUUGAAGGGCGAGGGGGGUGAAGAGAGAGGUGGGGUUGAAGGGCGAGGGGUGAAGAGAGAGGUGGGGUUGAAGGGCGAGGUGGGGUUGAAGGGCAAGGGGGGGGUGAAGAGAGAGGUGGGGUUGAAGGGCGGGGGGGGGGGGUGAAGAGAGAGGUGGGGUUGAAGGGCGAGGGGGGGUGAAGAGAGAGGUGGGGUUGAAGGGCGAGGUGAAGAGAGGUGGGGUUGAAGGGCGAGGGUGAAGAGAGAAGGGAUGUUGGUAUAUAGAGGAAUAUUAAAAUAAGCAAUAAAAUCACUGAUCAAUAAAAUCUAAUACAACUAAAUCAGACACGGAUAACAAUGGGAGAGUAAUUAUGUUGUUGUUGACUUUAUCCAUACUAGCUAGUGUCUAACUCAGGGUGUGACAUCAAUGUGUGUGUGUGUGUGUGUGUGUGUGUGUGUGUGUGUGUGUGUGUGUGUGUGUGUGUGUGUGAGUGUGUGUGUGUGUGUGUGUGUGUGUGUGUGUGUGUGUGAGUGUGUGUGUGUGUGUGUGUGAGUGUGUGUGUGUGUGUGUGCACGUACUCUUACGAGUGAGUCAAGAGGGAUGUGUGUGUGUCAGACUGCAGCUCGGUACAACUGUAGAGUUACCAAGUGUCUCUGCUUCACCCACAGACAGUAACUGACGAGGAACAGCAACAUCACUUCAGCACAAACACAGAGAGGGCUGGUAACAACUACUGUGUGUGUGUGUGAGUAAGUAUUCUUACGAGUGAGUCGACAGGGAUGUGCGUAAUUUUGCCAGCUAGCGGAGCGACUUAAGUUAGGCCCACUCCUCCUCCUGGCUGAACAGAAAUAGUCAUGACCUGCAGUGUCCCGUCAUCUUAUUGUGCUACAGUAACGUCAUGUGAAAAGGUUAAAGCAUUAUUCAUGGAGUGCAAAUUCCGUCACAAUAUUGUUUAGAACGUUCGUUUUGAACUGAUGCACGACUGAGCAUUCUACUCAAUGAGCGCCGAUGAAGAUUUCAUCAAAAGUGCAUUACAGUGGCUUGGGAAUACAAUGACACUCAAAAGGAGGCAAAUAAUUAGUAGGAAAACCUUUUGAUGUCGCCAGAUUGACUUUAGAUACAGUAUAACGUUAGCUAGCUAGCUAAGAUUGAGGUGAGGCCACCAGAUAGACUUUAGAUACAGUAUAACAUUAGCAAGCUAAGAUUGAGGGGAGACGACCAGAUUGACUUUAGAUGCAGUAUAACAUUAGCUAGCUAGCUAAGAUAGAGGUGAGGCCACCAGAUAGACUUUAAAUGCAGUGUAACGUUAGCUAGCUAGCCACCAGAUUGACUUUAGAUGCAGUGUAACGUUAGCUAGCUAGCCACCAGAUUGACUUUAGAUGCAGUGUAACGUUAGCUAGCUAGCCACCAGAUUGACUUUAGAUGCAGUGUAACGUUAGCUAGCUAGCCACCAGAUUGACUUUAGAUGCAGUGUAACGUUAGCUAGCUAAAAUGGAGGUGAGGCCAUUUUUUUUAUUAGGUUUUUGACAAACUUUGCUAGCUAAUGACAACAUUGCAAUCAAAGUAAAUUUGAAGGCAUGAUAACGCUUGCAAACUUUUUCCUACUAAAUACUUGACUACUUUAGCAAUGUCAUUGUAUUUCCAGAAUUACUUUUUUUUAAUCGCAACUUUAGGGCGCCGCCGAUAGAGGCCUGCUUGAGAACGUUCACAACAAUGGCAUGAUGCGACAUAGUGAGGGAGGUGCAUCCUAUGAAUAUGUACUCUCUGUGUGUGUGUGUGUAUAUAUAUAAAAAAUAUAUGAGUCGUAGUCGUUCAGUCAUGCUGGGUAUUAUAUGACCAGUGGGGCUCUUCUCUAGCCAGUCUAGGGGUUCAAAUCUGUCUGCUAGAUAGCCCUGAGACGACUGGAUUAAAAGACUGUUGUUGUUCUCAAUACUUCAUGUGGGAUUAAGAUCCAAAGUCUCGUUUUACAACAACCAUCAGAAGGCAGAGAUGAUUUGCUUGUAAACAGUUCCACAACCCUUGCACGCCAUGGAGUCUUGAGCCGCAGCUUUCCAAAAUCAUUUUGGUUGAAGUGUAUUUAGAUGUUAUGUUUGCUUUGGCAACUUUGGGCUUUGUGGGGCUAUGUAGAUGCUACUAAGGUAGUUGUGGUUGGAACUGGACUAUUUAGCAGACAGAAUGUCACCCUUUCUGUUUGUGUUUUAACUACAGUCCUGUAGAGUUUAGUCCAAUACUGUUACUACUGUCCUACAACUACAGUAACAACACUCCUAACAAUUCUCUGUACGCUUCAGCAAGUCAUAUCAAUAACCAGCCAUCAAUAAGACCCUGGUUUUCAUUUGGUAGUUGUUUGUUGACAAGUUAACGGGCCGUUUGUUGUGUCUCAGUGUAACGGAUCUUAACGGUGGGCUCAGUGAUUUAAAUAUCAACACUGACUGUGUACCCUAUGAGUAUAAGGCUGAAGAUCAACAACAGAGGCAGUCUUGUGGAAUCCUUAGGUUCUUCACAGGAACGAAGAGGAUCAGUCAGAAUGUAGGGAAUAGGGUGCCAUUUCAUCUGGGCAGGGUUUCCUUCAGUUAAACAGUUAAGAUUUUAGACCAGCGUUUCCCCAACUCAGUCACCCCCCCCCUCUCCCGGGUGCACCUUUUGGUUCUGACCCAGCACUACACAGCUGAUUCAAUAACCAACUCAUCGGCAAGCUUUGAUUAUUUGAAUCAGUUGUGUAGUGCUAGGGGGGGGGGGGAAACCCCUUGGCGUCCCCAGGUACGAGUUUGGGAAACAUUGUCUUAGGCCUAACCAUCAGAUAGAUAGAGCAUCAAGUCUUUGACAUGGUCUCCUUCUGUUGCCUUGCCUUGUCAGGGGUUCAUAUAGGGUGCCUCCCAAAUGGUACCCCAUUCCCUAUAUAGUGCACUACUUUUGACCAAAGCCCUAUGGGGGUAGCCCUAUGGGCCAUAAACAGAACUAGUGCAGUAGAAGGACUAGGAGUCCUUUGGGCAGCAUCCAUGUCCCUACGCUGGUUAAAUUGAGUUGAUUCAGUCCAUGUUAUUUCUACAGAUGUCCAGGAGACAGACAGAUCAAUCCUACUACUCUGCUCUGUCGUCUACUAACAUUAAAACAAGACAAUACUCUGAUUCCUCUCAGAGCACACCUAUUAAGGGAAUACUUAUUUUGUCCUCUAUCAUAAUUAUAAAACUAUUUAGGAUCUUUAGAUUGUGGGCAGAACAUUCAUGUGUUCCCACCCCAAACCCCUGCUGAUUGUGGAGGUAGUUUGGGGGAAGUGCUUCUUGUUGUUGGUUAAAGAGCUGAGAACGGCUGUGCUAUCGCCGUGGCGACUGCUAACCAAUCACCAGGCGGGGUUGGGGAGGCGGUGCUACCAGGCCUGUCCUGAUUGGCCAGCCAGCUGACAGGGCUGGUGUGGGUCUAUGCUUUGGGACUUCAUCAGGUCUUGUCUAUAACGGCAACCUACCCCCCAUAAUGCACUGCUUCUGAUGAACAGGAGUAGUAGUGCACCAUGUAGGAAAUAGGGUGCCAUUUGAGACGUGCCAGUCAGAGGGGCAGCACUCUGACCCCCGACGUGGCACCAUGUUUGUCCUGACUGUGUUUUAACCUGUUAGGGGAUCCAGUGGGACUCUUCUGAAGACCACUGCUCACAUUUAAACAGCUAUUGUUAACAAGGGGCAUAUUAACACACAAAGGAGUCUCUAAAUGUGUCUAAUGUUAAAAUAGAUCUCUAGAGGUCAAAGAAAUGUCCUAGGUCACAGGGGAACCCUAUCAGACAGACUGUCAAUUCAUCAAUAAUCACAAUGAAUGCAACAUUAGUUAAGUGCUCCCCAUUGGGAUAUAUAAUAAGAGCAUAGGGGAUAAUGCAGUAAUAUAAUAUAGGGGUAAGAGCUUCCAUACGUUGGAGCGUCAGGUUAAGGUGCGUACAUAAAUCUGUGGUCAAGGGGGUCUCAACACGGCUGGGCUAGGCUAAAUUAGCAUGCUACCAUAUUAACGUAAGUGCUAAUGUUAUUCAAGGGUCUGGCCUACGUUAGCAUGCUAACGCAUUAGCGGUGCAAAUGCUACUGAAGGGGCUAAGCUAUACACCGACGCUCAGGGUAAUAUUUUAUAUUUUUGAUGUAACUUUUAUUUAACUAGACAAGUCAGUUAAGAACAAAUUCUUAUUUACAAUGAUGGCCUACCGGGGAACAGUGGGUUAACUGCCUUGUUCAGGGGCAGAACGACAGAUUUUUACCUUGUUAGCUCGGGGAUUCGAUCCAGUAACCUUUCGGAUACUAGCCCAACACUUUAACCACUAGGCUACUUGCCGCCCAGGUAGUGUUGUGAUUAGCAAAACAACGCAGCGUAGCUAAUACAGAUGGGUCUGGAGGGAGGGGUUAGAGGCGCGGCUAACGCUAAUAGAUCAUUAUCGGUGGUGUAUUUAGCAAACGCCAUGUCAUCCUCCUCUUCCUCUCUGACCUCACAUGGAACACCGCUUGCCACGAGGUCCCUAUGGCAACCAUUUACAUCUGUGGUCAUGGGGUCUCAACACGGCUGGGCAACUAAACUUGUAAUGGCUACCAAGCCGAGGAACUAACAGACUAGCCAACACUGUGUGUUUAGUGUCGACGUUACUGUGCGUGUAAACCCACUAUUACUACCACUAAACACUGUAGUUCCAAGUCUAACUGUGCGGACCUCGGUAGGGGAGUGUAGAUCACAUCAUCCCAUUUCAAUUCACAAUAAAUUUGACCACUAGGAAGGGAUCAUUACAACAUGAGACAGUGUGCUGGGGCUACAACAGCCAUGUG
rnacentral:lncRNA from 1 species